UGGCUGUGGUUAUGGGUGGGCCCAGUAGAAAGCCCCUUGGUAAUAACCAGGUCCAGAGUAUGGCUGUGGUUAUGGGUGGGCCCAGUAGAAAGCCCCUUGGUAAUAACCAGUCCAGAGUAUGGCUGUGGUUAUGGGUGGGCCCAGUAGAAAGCCCCUUGGUAAUAACCAGGUCCAGAGUAUGGCUGUGGUUAUGGGUGGGCCCAGUAGAAAGCCCCUUGGUAAUAACCAGGUCCAGAGUAUGGCUGUGGUUAUGGGUGGGCCCAGUAGAAAGCCCCUUGGUAAUAACCAGGUCCAGAGUAUGGCUGUGGUUAUGGGUGGGCCCAGUAGAAAGCCCCUUGGUAAUAACCAGGUCCAGAGUAUGGCUGUGGUUAUGGGUGGGCCCAGUAGAAAGCCCCUUGGUAAUAACCAGGUCCAGAGUAUGGCUGUGGUUAUGGGUGGGCCCAGUAGAAAGCCCCUCUGGUAAUAACCAGGUCCAUAGUAUGGCUGUGGUUGUGGUUGGGCCCAGUAGAAAGCCCCUUGGUAAAAACCAGGUCCAAAGUAUGGCUGUGGUUAUGGGUGGGCCCAGUUGAAAGCCCCUUGGUAAUAACCAGGCCCAGAGUAUUGCUGUGGUUAUGGGUGGGCCCAGUAGAAAGCCCCUUGGCAAUAACCAG
rnacentral:lncRNA from 1 species